AAAGCCAAGGGAUCGCAAGACCUUGCGCUUUUGGAGCGGCCGAUGUCUGAUUAGCUAGUUGGUGAGGUAAAGGCUCACCAAGGCGACGAUCAGUAGCUGGUCUGAGAGGACGACCAGCCACACUGGAACUGAGACACGGUCCAGACUCCUACGGGAGGCAGCAGUGGGGAAUUUUGGACAAUGGGGGCAACCCUGAUCCAGCCAUGCCGCGUGAGUGAAGAAGGCCUUCGGGUUGUAAAGCUCUUUCAGCCGGAACGAAACGGUCACGGAUAAUACCUGUGACUAAUGACGGUACCGGAAGAAGAAGCACCGGCUAACUACGUGCCAGCAGCCGCGGUAAUACGUAGGGUGCGAGCGUUAAUCGGAAUUACUGGGCGUAAAGCGUGCGCAGGCGGU
rnacentral:rRNA from 1 species